rnacentral:rRNA from 1 species
GAUGAACGCUGGCGGCGUGCCUAAUACAUGCAAGUCGAGCGAACGGACGAGAAGCUUGCUUCUCUGAUGUUAGCGGCGGACGGGUGAGUAACGCGUGGAUAACCUACCUAUAAGACUGGGAUAACUUCGAGAAACCGGAGCUAAUACCGGAUAAUCUUUUGAACCGCAUGGUUCAAAAGUGAAAGACGGCCUUGCUGUCACUUAUAGAUGGAUCCGCGCUGCAUUGGCUAGUUGGUAAGGUAAAGGCUUUCCAAGGCAACGAUGCGUUGCCGACCUGUGAGGGUGAUCGGCCACCCGGGAACGUGCACACGCUCCUUACUCCUGCGGUAGGCACCAGUAGGGUACCUGCCGCAAUGGGCGAAAGCCUUACGGAGCAACGCCGCGUGAGUGAUGGAGGUCUUCGGAUCGUAAAACUCGGUUAUUAGUGAAGAACAUAUGUGUAAGUAACUGUGCACAUCUUGACGGUACCUAAUCAGAAAGCCACGGCUAACUACGUG